GAUGAACGCUGGCGGCGUGCCUAAUACAUGCAAGUCGAGCGAACGGACGAGAAGCUUGCUUCUCUGAUGUUAGCGGCGGACGGGUGAGUAACACGUGGAUAACCUACCUAUAAGACUGGGAUAACUUCGGGAAACCGGAGCUAAUACCGGAUAAUAUUUUGAACCGCAUGGUUCAAAAGUGAAAGACGGUCUUGCUGUCACUUAUAGAUGGAUCUGCGCUGCAUUAGCUAGUUGGUAAGGUAACGGCUUACCAAGGCAACGAUGCAUAGCCGACCUGAGCGGGUGGUCGGCCACACUGGAACUGAGACACGGUCCAGACUCCUACGGGAGGCAGCAGUAGGGAAUCUUCCGCAAUGGGCGAAAGCCUGACGGAGCAACGCCGCGUGAGUGAUGAAGGUCUUCGGAUCGUAAAACUCUGUUAUUAGGGAAGAACAUAUGUGUAAGUAACUGUGCACAUCUUGACGGUACCUAAUCAGAAAGCCACGGCUAACUACGUG
rnacentral:rRNA from 1 species